rnacentral:tRNA from 1 species
GAGGCUGUGGAAUGGUGGUAGAGUCUCUGCUUUCCAUGCAGAAGGUCCCAGGUUCAAUCCUGGGGGCUUCA